AGUGAACGCUGGCGGUAGGCCUAACACAUGCAAGUCGAACGGCAGCACAGUAAGAGCUUGCUCUUACGGGUGGCGAGUGGCGGACGGGUGAGGAAUACAUCGGAAUCUACUUUUUCGUGGGGGAUAACGUAGGGAAACUUACGCUAAUACCGCAUACGACCUACGGGUGAAAGCAGGGGAUCUUCGGACCUUGCGCGAUUGAAUGAGCCGAUGUCGGAUUAGCUAGUUGGCGGGGUAAAGGCCCACCAAGGCGACGAUCCGUAGCUGGUCUGAGAGGAGGAUCAGCCGCACGGGAGCGGAGACACGGUCCAGAGUCCUGCGGGAGGGAGCAGUGGGGAAUGUUGGACAAUGGGGGCAAGCCUGAUCCAGCCAUACCGCGUGGGUGAAGGAGGCCUUCGGGGUGUAAAGCCCUUUUGUUGGGAAAGAAAAGCAGCAGGUUAAUACCCCGCUGUUCUGACGGUACCCAAAGAAUAAGCACCGGCUAACUUCGUG
rnacentral:rRNA from 1 species